rnacentral:lncRNA from 1 species
UGCUGAUGUUUUGUAGAGUUGAUCUUAUUUCUGUCCAAAUCUUGAAGAAAGCUUUCCUCAAGUUUUCUAAAGCUUCAGGUUUGCAAGCUAAUCCGGCAAAAAGUACCAUAUAUAUAGCUGGAGUCAAACAGGAUACCAAGGAGGUGAUUCUGGAGACCCUAGGAUUUAGUGAAGGCAAAUUUCCUUUCAAAUAUCUGGGGAUUCCUCUUGACUCCAAAAAACUGUCUGUUGGACAAUACUUACCUAUAAUUGAGAAGAUUAUAGCUAGAGUAACAUGUUGGUCUGUCAAACUGCUCUCCUAUGCUAGAAGGUGUCAACUGAUAAAAUCUAUCAUAUUUGGCAUUCAAACCUACUGGGCUCAAGUGUUCAUUCUGCCUAAGAGAGUAUUGAAAACAAUUGAGAAUAUUUGCAGAACCUUUCUGGGGACUGGGAGUGUAAAGCUGUCCAGAAAGGCCCUAGUGGCAUUAGACAGAGUUUGUAGACCCAUCACUGCUGGUGGACUAAAUAUUCUAGACAUGACAUUAUGGAAUAAGGCAGCAAUUAGCAAGCACCUCUGGAAUUUGGCUAAGAAGAAGGAUUGCUUGUGGAUAAGAUGGGUGCACAGCUACUAUAUCAAGCAGUUGGACAUUGAAAAAAUGUCCAUACCUAAGGCAGCCUCUUAGGUUGUAAGGAAGAUACUGGACAGAUGGGAUGACUAAUGUCCAAACCUAAGGCAGCCUCUUGGGUAGUAAGGAAAAUUCUGGACAGAAGAGAUGACAUUAUGGGAGCUCAAGUGCUUCAAGGCAAUCUGAUUAGUAGACGGCAAGGUUUCUGCAAGCAAGAACAACUCCAUAUUCAGAAGUUAUAUCUAGCAUUGGUUCCAACAUACAGUAAGGUUACAUGGAAAAAUCUGAUAUUGCUAACACAUGCUCAACCUAGGCACAGGUUCACUGUCUGGCUAGCUGCUCAACAGAGGCUACCUACAGUAGAGAGACUACAGAAAAUUGGUAUCAUAGUUCUUG